UACGUAGGCAGCGAGCGUUGUUCGGAGUUACUGGGCGUAAAGGGUGUGUAGGCGGUUGUUUAAGUUUGGUGUGAAAUCUCCCGGCUCAACUGGGAGGGUGCGCCGAAUACUGAAUGACUAGAGUGCGGGAGAGGUGAGUGGAAAUUCCUGGUGUAGCGGUGAAAUGCGUAGAUAUCAGGAGGAACACCGGUGGUGUAGACGGCUCACUGGACCGUAACUGACGCUGAGACACGAAAGCGUGGGUAGCAAACAGG
rnacentral:rRNA from 1 species